rnacentral:misc_RNA from 1 species
ACGUCGAGAUGAUGAAAAUUUGGUCUGGGCAAGCGCAAGCCAUGUUAUUCAAAGCAGUCCUUUCGGUGUGCCUCUUAGUUUGCUUAGCAGCUUCCCAAGAUCUCAGUUUCCGCUACAAUGGCUUUCGAUCCCUUGAUGGUAUAGCUGAGAUCACCUCUAGUGGCCUUCUGAGGCUCACCUAUGACACCAAGCAGGAAAAGGGUCACGCCUUUUUUCCAAACCCAAUAACUUUCAAGAACACAAAUGGCUCUGUUUUCACCUUUUCUACUACCUUUGUCUUUGCUAUUGUACCUGAAAUUGCAAGUAUUAGUGGUCAUGGGAUUGCCUUUGUGAUUGCACCAACAAAAGGCCUCCCUGGAUCUCUUCCCAGCCAGUACCUUGGGCUGUUUAACAAGACCAACAAUGGUAAUGAUACCAACCAUGUUUUUGCAGUGGAGCUUGACACCAUCUAUAGCAGCGAAUUCGAUGAUAUCAAUGAUAAUCAUGUUGGAAUAGAUAUUAAUGGGUUAACGUCUGAGGAAUCUGCCCCAGCAGGAUAUCAUACUGAUUCCAGCGGUGGGCUCACAAACUUGACCCUUGCUAGCAGCCAACCAAUGCAAAUUUGGGUGGAAUAUGAUGGUGCAAAGAAGCAACUUAAUGUCACUUUGGCUCCGAUUAAUAUUGGUAAACCCAGUAUUCCACUUUUGUCUGUAGUUCUUGAUCUGUCACCAUUCCUGCGAGAUGCCAUGUACGUUGGUUUCUCAUCAUCUACAGCCUCUGUCCUAACAUCUAAUUAUGUAUUGGGUUGGAGCUAUAAGAUGAAUGGCCAAACUCAAGCACUAGAUCUUGCUCAACUUCCUAAGCUUCCGCGAAUUGGACCUAAGGAGAGAUCAAAAUUUCUAACCAUUGGGGUGCCCACAAUUUCUGUAAGUGUGGUUUUCAUAGUAAUAUCAGGUUUCGUUUAUCUCAUAAGAUGGAAACGGAAGUUUGCAGAAGUGCUUGAAGAUUGGGAGCUUGACUAUGGGCCUCACAGAUUCAAAUACAAGGAUUUGUACAUCGCCACUAAAGGAUUUAGGGACAAGGAACUAUUGGGUAGUGGUGGAUUUGGUAGGGUUUAUAAAGGAGUGUUGCCAUCUUCCAAGAUUGAGAUUGCAGUAAAAAAGGUGUCCCAUGAAACAAGACAAGGAAUGAAGGUUUUUAUAGCAGAAAUUGUUAGUAUUGGUCGCCUUCGUCACCGGAACCUUGUAACCCUCUUGGGCUAUUGCCGGCGCAAAGGAGA